CCGGCCGCCGGCCAGCGGGAUGAUGACCCGCUCCUGCCGGAUCGUGGUCUCGCAGAGACCCUGGCAGAUCGGCACCGUCAGGUCGGUC
rnacentral:tRNA from 1 species